rnacentral:rRNA from 1 species
CCUACGGGUGGCAGCAGUGAGGAAUAUUGGUCAAUGGGCGGAAGCCUGAACCAGCCAAGUCGCGUGAGGGAUUAAGGCCCUGCGGGUCGUAAACCUCUUUUGCCGGGGAGCAGUGGUCCGGAUGAGUCCGGGCCGGGAUAUUACCCGGAGAAAAAGCAUCGGCUAACUCCGUGCCAGCAGCCGCGGUAAUACGGAGCAUGCGAGCGUUAUCCGGAUUUAUGGGGUUAAAUGGGUGCGUAGGCGGGCAUUUAAGCCGGCGGUCAAAUGUCGGGGCUAAACCCCGGACUGCCGUCGGAACUGGGUGCCUUGAGUGGGCGAGAAGUAUGCGGAAUGCGUGGUGUAGCGGUGAAAUGCAUAGAUAUCACGCAGAACCCCGAUUGCGAAGGCAGCAUACCGGCGCCCGACUGACGCUGAGGCACGAAAGUGCGGGUAUCGAACAGGAUUAGAUACCCUUGUAGUC